UGCCAGCCUCCGCGGUACUACUGAUAGGGCAAGCGUUGUUCGGAUUUACUGGGCAUAAAGCGCACGUAGGCGGAUCAGUAAGUCGGUUGUGAAAUCCCAGGGCUUAACCCUGGAACCGCUUCCGAGACUACUAAUCUUGAGGAUGAGAGGGGAGAGUGGAACUUCUGGUGGAGCGGUGAAAUGCGUAGAUAUCAGAAGGAACACCGGUGGCGAAAGCGACUCUCUGGCUCAUAUCUGACGCUGAGGUGCGAAAGCUAGGGUAGCAAACGGGAUUAGAUA
rnacentral:rRNA from 1 species